AAGAAAAUGGUUGGGCUGGGGUUUUAGCUCAGUGGUUCCCCUGCCUGCCUUGGAAGCUCAAGGUCCCGAGUUUGAUCCCCAGUACCAAAAAAAAGAAAAUGGCUUUAAUUUGCAGUUGUAUAAUUUUAUCCUAACAUUUACUCUUUUCCAAGUAACAUGCUAAGAUAUUUUUCAUAGACGGUAUUAUUUCAUUUGCCCCUGACAACACACUUAUGAGCUAAAUGUUAUUCUUAAUUUGGUUUUAUAUAUGAGGAAACUGAAGGUCAGAGAUGUGAAGCAGUUCAUCCAAGAUCACCAUCCAAGAACACCAACAGAAGCAGGGUGAAGAAUGAGAAAUUCAGAACUUGUUCUUCUUGGAUCACUUCCAAGAAAUAAGAAUGCAAAAGGGUGCCUGUCAUUGCCUUGAUCCUUAAGAAGCCCAUCUGCAGCCGUCCUCAAACCCAAGGGCAGGACUCUGUACAGAGGCAAAAGGAGAUACUGAAUGCAGGGCAAGGAGCAUCGUGUAGGAGAGCAAUUCCAUGUUUGAAAAUCAUCUUUACAACUCGCCUGCAACAUGCAAUCAGCUCCUCCUUUCUAGUCACGUUUGCUCAUGAAUAUUUUCUGUGGUCAUCUAUCCAUACUGAAGGGCUAUGCACUUACCUGCCACGAUACUUCAGUGUUUGUUGGGAAUCGAAGCCAAGUCUUGGAGAUGGUGCUGCCAGAUUCUCUGAGGAGACUGAGAAUAUGUGGUCCCAGCAGCAAAAAGAGAUGGAAUGAGAGUAGAAGAGUGGGAGUGAUCAACCUGUUCCUCCUCUACUCUCUGCUCCUCCUUACCCUCCCUGCCAGUUCUGCCUGUGCUCUUUUUACAAUGGAUCAGGUGGGUGGCAGCUGGGGCUUCAUAUCCAGGGAUUUAUAGUUAUGGCUGUUAUGGGGUAUAUUCCAAGACAGUGCUCUCUCCAGAGUUUAAGGGGAAGUGACCAGGAAUAUACUGAAAUUUUAUGUCACUCGCUUAGGGAGGCCUGGAACCUGACACCAGCACUGCAGGAAGGGAUGUAGAGAGAAAAGCAAUCGAAUAUGAGUAGAGAACAGAGG
ensembl:lncRNA